AAAAAUGCGUUGAAGAGAAGCAGUAGGUUUUACCGUGUAGGUACAGAGAGUUGCCGUUCGGUGGAAGGUAAUGCUACAGGAAAACUGAACUCGUCUCGAAGCAGCUCGCUGAACUAUAAGUAGGCGGAGUCGGCUCCUGUCCGUUAUCCUACAGGAAGGUAUCGACAAUUGUCCGUACUUAUGAGUGCAUAUUUUAGGAUAUGAAGUAGAGUGGUAACGCGUGAGCAAAGUCUUUCGUCUCUGAU
rnacentral:ncRNA from 1 species